AGCGAACGCUGGCGGCAGGCCUAACACAUGCAAGUCGAACGAAGUCUUCGGACUUAGUGGCGGACGGGUGAGUAACACGUGGGAACGUGCCUUUAGGUUCGGAAUAACUCAGGGAAACUUGUGCUGAUACCGAAUGUGCCCUUCGGGGGAAAGAUUUAUCGCCUUUAGAGCGGCCCGCGUCUGAUUAGCUAGUAGGUGGGGUAAUGGCCCACCAAGGCUACGAUCAGUAGCUGGUCUGAGAGGAAGACCAGCCACAUUGGGACUGAGACACGGCCCAAACUCCUACGGGAGGCAGCAGUGGGGAAUCUUGCGCAAUGGGUGAAAGCCUGACGCAGCCAUGCCGCGUGGAUGAUGAAGGUCUUAGGAUUGUAAAAUCCUUUCACCGGUGAAGAUAAUGACUGUAGCCGGAGAAGAAGCCCCGGCUAACUUCGUGCCAGCCGCCGCGGUAAAAC
rnacentral:rRNA from 1 species